rnacentral:rRNA from 1 species
AUACGUAGGGGGCUAGCGUUAUCCGGAUUUAUUGGGUUUAAAGGGUGCGUAGGCGGUUUCUUAAGUCAGAGGUGAAAGGCUACGGCUCAACCGUAGUAAGCCUUUGAAACUGGGAAACUUGAGUGCAGGAGAGGAGAGUGGAAUUCCUAGUGUAGCGGUGAAAUGCGUAGAUAUUAGGAGGAACACCAGUUGCGAAGGCGGCUCUCUGGACUGUAACUGACACUGAGGCACGAAAGCGUGGGGAGC